AUUGAACGCUGGCGGCAGGCCUAACACAUGCAAGUCGAGCGGAGCGGCGGACGGGUGAGUAAUGACUAGGAAGCUGCCUGGUAGUGGGGGAUAACGUACGGAAACGGGCGCUAAUAUCUCAUACUAUCAGAUGAGCCUAGGUCGAAUUGGCUAGCUGGUGGGGUAAAGGCCUACCAAGGCGACGAUCCGUAACUGGUCUGAGAGGAUGAUCAGUCACACUGGAACUGAGACACGGGCCAGACUCCUACGGGAGGCAGCAGUGGGGAAUAUUGGACAAUGGGCGAAAGCCUGAUCCAGCCAUGCCGCGUGUGUGAAGAAGGUCUUCGGGUUGUAAAGCACUUUAAGUUGGGAGGCGUUACCAACAGAAGAAGCACCGGCUAACUUCGUGCCAGCAGCCGCGGUAAUAC
rnacentral:rRNA from 1 species